GGGGAGGUGCCAGAGUGGUUGAAUGGGGCCGCCUGCUAAGCGGUUGUGGGGUUAAUAGCUCCACCCAGGGUUCGAAUCCCUGCCUCCCCGCCA
rnacentral:tRNA from 1 species